GUGUACUCCGGACUUAUCAGGAACCGAUUCAAACAGCAGUUGCUGCUCUGACCCCUUCAGCUCGAGGGGAUAGAUGGAGCAUGGGGAUGAUCAUGGCAGUCAUAUGUGCAGCAGCACUGGUUCUUCCACUUCUAUUUGGUUCUAGCUUUGAAUAUACCCGAUUGAAGAAACAGACAUAAAUCGAUGAGGAAAGAA